UGGGGAAUAUUGCACAAUGGGCGCAAGCCUGAUGCAGCCAUGCCGCGUGUAUGAAGACGGCCUUCGGGUUGUAAAGUAUUUUCAGCGGGGAGGAAGGGAGUAAAGUUAAUACCUUUGCUCAUUGACGUUACCCGCAGAAGAAGCACCGGCUAACUACGUGCCAGCAGCCGCGGUAAUACGUAGGUGGCAAGCGUUGUCCGGAUUUAUUGGGCGUAAAGCGAGCGCAGGCGGUUUCUUAAGUCUGAUGUGAAAGCCCCCGGCUCAACCGGAGAGGGUCAUUGGAGGCUGGGGGACUUGAGUGCAGAGGAGGAGGGUGGAAUUCCAUGUGUGGCGGUGGGAGGCGUAGAUAUAUGGGGGAACACCAGUGGGGAAGGCGGCGCUCUGGUCGGUGACUGACGCAGAGGCUGGAAAGCAUGGGGAGCAAACAGG
rnacentral:rRNA from 1 species